rnacentral:rRNA from 1 species
UACGGAGGGUGCAAGCGUUAAUCGGAAUUACUGGGCGUAAAGCGUGCGUAGACGGUUACAUAAGUCGGGUGUGAAAGCCCCGGGCUCAACCUGGGAAUUGCAUUCGAGACUGCGUAGCUAGGGUGCGGAAGAGGGAAGCGGAAUUUCCGGUGUGAGCGGUGAAAUGCGCAGAUAUCGGAAGGAACACCAGUGGCGAAAGCGGCUUCCUGGUCCAGCACCGACGUUCAGGCACGAAAGCGUGGGGAGCAAACAGG